rnacentral:tRNA from 1 species
GGGGCUGUGGCUCAGUGCAAGAGCAUCUGCUUUAUAUGCAGGAUGUCCCAAGUUCAAUCCCUGGCAUUUCCA